rnacentral:lncRNA from 1 species
AAUAUCCGUCAUUGGUUAGGAUGAACAUAUCAAGGAUAAACUCAAAGCAGGGGAAGAAAAUAUUCGUCAUCAGUUAUGAUGAACAUAUCAAGGAUAUACUUCCUGGGAAAUGUGAAAAUGAAUCCGCUGGGGAAACAAAGGUCGUUCUUGCCGGGUAUUGGGCAGAAAUAACAAACAUGAGAAGAAUAUUACCAGUUAUUGGGUAAUUGGCUCUCAGAGGGCCAAAAGGUUCUAUCUAGGUAAGAUUUCG